CGUGCAUAACACAUUCAAGUCGAACGGAGACUUUUGAAUUAAUCCUUCGGGAAGCGUUUAAAAGUCUUAGUGGCGGACGGGUGAGUAACGCGUGAGCAACCUGCCUCUGUAGGUGGAAUAACGUUUGGAAACGAACGCUAAUACCGCAUGAAACAUAGUUGGCGCAUUAAUUCUAUGUCAAAGAUUUAUCGUACAGAGAUGGGCUCGCGUCCCAUUAGGUAGUUGGUGAGGUAACGGGCCACCAAGCCGACGAUGGGUAGCCCGAAUGCGAGGUUGAACGGCCCAAUUGGAACUGAGAUACGGUCCAGAAUCCUACGGGAGGCAGCAGUGGGGAAUAUUGGGCAAUGGGCGCAAGCCUGACCCAGCGACGCCGCGUGAGGGAAGAAGGUCUUCGGAUUGUAAACCUUUGUUGACAGGGACGCAAGAUGACGGUACCUGUCGAGGAAGCCACGGCUAACUACGUGCCAGCCGCCGCGGUAAUAC
rnacentral:rRNA from 1 species